UAAUACGUAGGGAGCAAGCGUUGUUCGGAUUUACUGGGCGUAAAGGGCGCGUAGGCGGCAAAUCAAGUCAGCUGUGAAAUCUCCGAGCUUAACUCGGAACGGUCAGCUGAUACUGUUUUGCUAGAGUGCAGAAAGGGCAAUCGGAAUUCUUGGUGUAGCGGUGAAAUGCGUAGAUAUCAAGAGGAACACCUGAGGCGAAGGCGGGUUGCUAGGCUGACACUGACGCUGAGGCGCGAAAGCCAGGGGAGCAAACGGGAUUAGAUACCCCGGUAGUCCUGGCCCUAAACGAUGAAUACUUGGUGUCUGGAGUUUCAAUACUCCGGGUGCCGUCGCUAACGUUUUUAGUAUUCCGCCUGGGGAGUACGCUCGCAAGAGUG
rnacentral:rRNA from 1 species